AAGGCUUUAGCUUAAUGAAAGCAUCUGGUUUGCACUCAGAAGAUACAGGUUAAUAUCCUGUUGGUCUUA
rnacentral:tRNA from 1 species